rnacentral:lncRNA from 1 species
UGUCUCUCUCUCUGUCUCUCUCUCUCUGUAUCUCUCUGUCUCUGUCUCUCUCUCUGUCCCUCUCUCUGUCUCUCUCUGUCUCUCUCUCUGUGUCUCUCUGUCUCCCUCUCUGUCUCUCUCUGUCUCUCUCUCUCUGUCUC